rnacentral:rRNA from 1 species
AGCGAACGCUGGCGGCAGGCCUAACACAUGCAAGUCGAACGAACCCUUCGGGGUUAGUGGCGGACGGGUGAGUAACACGUGGGAACGUGCCUUUAGGUUCGGAAUAACUCAGGGAAACUUGUGCUAAUACCGAAUGUGCCCUUCGGGGGAAAGAUUUAUCGCCUUUAGAGCGGCCCGCGUCUGAUUAGCUAGUUGGUGAGGUAAUGGCUCACCAAGGCUACGAUCAGUAGCUGGUCCGAGCGGAUGACCAGCCACAUUGGGACUGAGACACGGCCCAAACUCCUACGGGAGGAAGCAGUGGGGAAUCUUGCGCAAUGGGCGAAAGCCUGACGCAGCCAUGCCGCGUGGAUGAUGAAGGUCUUAGGAUUGUAAAAUCCUUUCACCGGUGAAGAUAAUGACUGUAGCCGGAGAAGAAGCCCCGGCUAACUUCGUGCCAGCCGCCGCCGUAAUAC